GAUGAACGCUAGCUACAGGCUUAACACAUGCAAGUCGCGGGGCAGCAUGGGGGUUGCUUGCAAUCCCCGAUGGCGACCGGCGCACGGGUGAGUAACGCGUAUCCAACCUGCCCUUCACCACGGGAUAACCCGGCGAAAGUCGGACUAAUACCGUAUGUUGUCCAUUGACGGCCUCCGAUUUGGACGAAAGGUUUGGCGGUGAAGGAUGGGGAUGCGUCCGAUUAGCUGGACGGCGGGGUGACGGCCCACCGUGGCGACGAUCGGUAGGGGUUCUGAGAGGAAGGUCCCCCACACUGGAACUGAGACACGGUCCAGACUCCUACGGGAGGCAGCAGUGAGGAAUAUUGGUCAAUGGGCGUAAGCCUGAACCAGCCAAGUAGCGUGCAGGAUGACGGCCCUAUGGGUUGUAAACUGCUUUUAUGCGGGGAUAAAGUGGCCCACGUGUGGGUUUUUGCAGGUACCGCAUGAAUAAGGACCGGCUAAUUCCGU
rnacentral:rRNA from 1 species